UACCCUUGACAUGUCCAGUAUGGGUUUCAGAGAUGAGAUCCUUCAGUUCGGCUGGCUGGAACACAGGUGCUGCAUGGCUGUCGUCAGCUCGUGUCGUGAGAUGUUGGGUUAAGUCCCGCAACGAGCGCAACCCUCGCCUUUAGUUGCCAUCAUUUAGUUGGGCACUCUAGAGGGACUGCCGGUGAUAAGCCGGAGGAAGGUGGGGAUGACGUCAAGUCCUCAUGGCCCUUACGGGUAGGGCUACACACGUGCUACAAUGGUGGUGACAGUGGGCAGCGACACAGUGAUGUGAUGCUAAUCUCAAAAAGCCAUCUCAGUUCAGAUUGUACUCUGCAACUCGAGUACAUGAAGUUGGAAUCGCUAGUAAUCGUAGAACAGCAUGCUACGGUGAAUACGUUCCCGGGCC
rnacentral:rRNA from 1 species